rnacentral:rRNA from 1 species
CCUACGGGAGGCAGCAGUGAGGAAUAUUGGUCAAUGGACGAGAGUCUGAACCAGCCACGUCGCGUGAAGGAUGACUGCCCUAUGGGUUGUCAACUUCUUUUAUAAAGGGAUAACACGAGGCACGUGUGCCUUUUUGCAUGUACUUUAUGAAUCAGGCUCGGCUAACUCCGUGCCAGCAGCCGCGGUAAUACGGAGGAUCCGAGCGUUAUCCGGAUUUAUUGGGUUUAAAGGGAGCGUAGAUGGGUUGUUAAGUCAGUUGUGAAAGUUUGCGGCUCAACCGGAAAAUUGCAAUUGAUACUGGCAGUCUUGAGUACAGUAGAGGUAGGCGGAAUUCGUGGUGUAGCGGUGAAAUGCGUAGAUAUCACGAAGAACCCCGAUGGCGAAGGCAGCUUACUAAACUGUGACUGACAUUGAGGCUCGAAAGUGUGGGGAGCAAACAGGAUUAGAUACCCGAGUAGUC